UAUUUUUUAAUAAAAGUUUUCAGAAAAAUUCAUAAUAUUAUAAGAAUCACUCCAAAAAAAUUAGAAUUUUUUAACAAAACAUAAAUUUAAUAUGAAUUUUUAUAUUUUUUACGGUUAAAAAUUCAUAUUUAAUUUGUGUUUUUUAAAAAGUUCUAUUUUUUUUUAGCAAAUUUUUUUAGAAUAUUUUACACAUUUCGGCACAAUUUCAUUAAAAAAAUACAAAAAUUAAAUUAAAAAUAGG
rnacentral:lncRNA from 1 species